UGGGGAAUUUUGCACAAUGGGGGAAACCCUGAUGCAGCGACGCCGCGUGAUUUAGAAGGCCUUCGGGUUGUAAAAAUCUUUUGUAUAGGAAGAAAAUGACAGUACUAUACGAAUAAGGACCGGCUAAUUACGUGCCAGCAGCCGCGGUAAUACGUAAGGUCCGAGCGUUGUCCGGAAUCAUUGGGCGUAAAGGGUACGUAGGCGGGUAAGCAAGUUAGAAGUGAAAUCCUAUAGCUCAACUAUAGUAAGCUUUUAAAACUGCUCAUCUUGAGGUAUGGAAGGGAUAGUGGAAUUCCUAGUGUAGCGGUGAAAUGCGCAGGUAUUAGGAAGAAUACCGGUGGCGAAGGCGACUUUCUGGCCAUAAACUGACACUAAGGUAAGAAAGCGUGGGUAGCAAUCAGG
rnacentral:rRNA from 1 species